GACCCUUACAACUCAAAUCAUACAUAAAUAGUUCGUUGAAGAAAGUAAUGGGAACGAGUCCUCAGUGGAAAGCAAUGAAGUGUGCGCAACAACCACGGGGAACCGAUUUGUGUGGCUACUACGUGUUGAAGUUCAUGCUUGAUGUAACCUCAAAUUGCAAAGAAGUCAGGGAUCUUGAGAAGAUAUUCCUUGAAUCAAGGGAGGGGUCUUUCACCACUACCGAAAUCAACGAGGUCCGAGAUUUGUUAGCACGCUACCUUACCAACGAUUGUAUGCGAAGGUGAUGCAGCGGCUUUGCAUUUAUUUAGAGGCGCUCUAAACUUGUCAAGAAGCACAAUUCAGCCGAUGGGUUUCCUGAGAUUGACGGAGAUGGAAGCAAAAGAAAUUCAAUUUGAUGAGGAUUUGAAGACACAUUGGAUGAAGCAAUCACCUUGGUAUUGGAUGUGAUGGGAUUCAAUUUUUUUGCAAUUAAGCAAGAGUUUCUUACUUGUAUAACUUGGCUUCAUGAGAGGGCUUAGUUUGUCUUGCUUAAUAUACUAUCUUUUUUAUUGCUUUCUUAGCUGAAUAAGGCCAUGGUUUUACCAUACUCAUAAAGUGUGGGUUUUACAUGGUCCAAUUUGUAAUUGGGGAUUGAGUUUGAGUCCAACAAUCUCUAAUCCUUGUCUACUUUCUUGUGGUUGAAUUUCAUAAGAUGUGAAGUCCAUUUGCUAUUGUUUCAAGACUGCUUUUUUCGAAUGGUAUGUUUUGUGGUAAUCUGGGGUGAUUGAAAGUUUUUGCUCAUAA